GUGCCAGCCGCCGCGGUAACACCGGCAGCCCGAGUGAUGGCCGAUAUUAUUGGGCCUAAAGCGUCCGUAGCUGGCCGCGCAGGUUCGUCGGGAAAUCCUCUCGCUUAACGAGUGGGCGUCCGGCGAAAACUGUGCGGCUUGGGACCGGAAGAUCCAAGGGGUACGUCCGGGGUAGGAGUGAAAUCCCGUAAUCCUGGACGGACCACCGAUGGCGAAAGCACCUUGGGAGGACGGAUCCGACAGUGAGGGACGAAAGCUAGGGUCUCGAACCGGAUUAGAUACCCCUGUAGUCC
rnacentral:rRNA from 1 species